rnacentral:miRNA from 2 species
UGUCUGCCCGCAUGCCUGCCUC